rnacentral:rRNA from 1 species
UACGUAGGGGGCUAGCGUUGUCCGGAAUCAUUGGGCGUAAAGCGCGCGUAGGCGGUCCGGUAAGUCCGCUGUGAAAGUCGAGGGCUCAACCCUCGAAUGCCGGUGGAUACUGUCGGGCUAGAGUGCGGAAGAGGCGAGUGGAAUUCCUGGUGUAGCGGUGAAAUGCGCAGAUAUCAGGAGGAACACCUAUUGCGAAGGCAGCUCGCUGGGACGUUACUGACGCUGAGACGCGAAAGCGUGGGGAGCAAACAGG